rnacentral:rRNA from 1 species
AACGAACGCUGGCGGCAUGCCUAACACAUGCAAGUCGAACGAUGCUUUCGGGCAUAGUGGCGCACGGGUGCGUAGCGCGUGGGAAUCUGCCCUUGGGUUCGGAAUAACAGUGAGAAAUUGCUGCUAAUACCGGAUGAUGUCUUCGGACCAAAGAUUUAUCGCCCAGGGAUGAGCCCGCGUAGGAUUAGCUAGUUGGUGGGGUAAUGGCCUACCAAGGCGACGAUCCUUAGCUGGUCUGAGAGGAUGAUCAGCCACACUGGGACUGAGACACGGCCCAGACUCCUACGGGAGGCAGCAGUGGGGAAUAUUGGACAAUGGGCGCAAGCCUGAUCCAGCAAUGCCGCGUGAGUGAUGAAGGCCUUAGGGUUGUAAAGCUCUUUUACCCGGGAUGAUAAUGACAGUACCGGGAGAAUAAGCUCCGGCUAACUCCGUG